GGGCAAGCGUUGUCCGGAUUUAUUGGGCGUAAAGAGCGUGUAGGCGGCCAGGUAGGUCUGCUGUGAAAACUCGAGGCUUAACCUCGAGAUGUCGGCGGAAACCAUCUGGCUAGAGUCCGGAAGAGGAGAAUGGAAUUCCCGGUGUAGCGGUGAAAUGCGCAGAUAUCGGGAAGAACACCCGUGGCGAAGGCGGUUCUCUGGGACGGUACUGACGCUGAGACGCGAAAGCGUGGGGAGCGAACAGG
rnacentral:rRNA from 1 species